CUUGGAGAAAAACUAUGUGGAGGUAGAGUAUACUCUCCCAUAAUUUUUGGGCAGUGUCUGGAAGAGCUAGAAGGUGAAGAAUCUGGCAGAAUCUAGUCCAAAAGGCAUGAAAAUAUAUGGAAAAAUGAGCUGUUAGGUACAUAAACACAUCUACAGCUUAAUUUCCUCAUCUUCUUAACUGCCAGUAAUCCAGUUAGACAGCUUCUGCUUAAAUCAUGUCUUACUUGUUAAAAUUCUGAGGUUCCAGGAAUGUUAGCAUGUAUCUUUCUUUCUUUCUUUCUUUCUUUCUUUCUUUCUUCUUUCUUUCUUUCUUUCUUUCUUUCUUUCUUUCUUUCUUUCUUUCUUUCUUUCUUUCUUUCUUUUUCUUUCUUUCUUUCUUUCUUUCUUUCUUUCUUUCUUUCUUUCUUUUUCUUUCUUUUUCUUUCUUUCUUUCUUUCUUUCUUUCUUUCUUUCUUUCUUUCUUUCUUUCUUUCUUUCUUUCUUUCUUUCUUUCUUUCUUUUCCUCUCUCCUUCCUUCCUUCUUUUCUUCCUUCCACCUCCCUAUCUCCUUCCCUCCUUUCUCUCUCUCCUUUCUUCCUUUCUUUUCUUUCUAGAAAGAUUCUUCUAGACUCCAUUAAGCAUUUAUUGAAUGCCUACAGUGUCAGCCCUAUGAAUAAUACAAAGCAUUAGAUAUAGACUCAAGACCUUUUAAUAUUGUUAGGGAGAUUAGAUUGACACAAGAAUGCAUUAGAUGUUGUGUUUAUAUAUCGAACAUAGCUAAUUUUCCCAUAUAUUUUCUUCAUUGUACAUAAUAAAAGAUUCUGUUAGAUAUUAUCA
rnacentral:lncRNA from 1 species